GAUGAACGCUAGCUACAGGCUUAACACAUGCAAGUCGAGGGGCAGCACAGAGAUAGCUUGCUAUCUUGGGUGGCGACCGGCGCACGGGUGAGUAACGCGUAUCCAACCUGCCCAUUACUCUGGGAUAGCCUUGCGAAAGUAAGAUUAAUACCGGAUGUUGUUAAAAACCCGCAUGAGUUUUUAACCAAAGAUUUAUUGGUAAUGGAUGGGGAUGCGUGACAUUAGGUAGUUGGUGAGGUAACGGCUCACCAAGCCUACGAUGUCUAGGGGUUCUGAGAGGAAGGUCCCCCACACUGGAACUGAGACACGGUCCAGACUCCUACGGGAGGCAGCAGUGAGGAAUAUUGGUCAAUGGACGAGAGUCUGAACCAGCCAAGUAGCGUGCAGGAUGACGGCCCUCUGGGUUGUAAACUGCUUUAGUUGGGAAUAAAAAGAGGGACGUGUCCCUAAUUGUAUGUACCAUCAGAAAAAGGACCGGCUAAUUCCGUGCCAGCAGCCGCAGUAAUAC
rnacentral:rRNA from 1 species